AUGCAAAAGCUUCUUCAAGCCUCAGAUGAGAAAACCAAUUGUCACACAACUAAAACUCUUGAGCCAAAUGCAGACCUUAAAAUCUACCACAAUGAUGACUUUCUUAAAGAAGGUAAGAGUUCAUUUCUUCAACAAUUUGAGCCAAGACCUGACGUCUCUAUUUAUCAUAAUGAUAUUGGUCUCAAAACAAGAAUAUCACUAGAAUAUCACUAGAUGAAAGCCCAUUUGUUAAAGAGUUUGAGCCGAGACCUGAUGUCUCCAUUUACCAUAACGAUAUUGGUCUCAAAACAAAAAUAUCACUAGAUGAGAGCCCAUUUGGUAAAGAGUUCGAGUUGAAACCUGAUGUCUCCAUUUACCAUAACCAUAUUGGUCUCAAAACAGAAAAACUGCCAAAUAAGAAUCCAUUUGUUAAAGAGUUUGAGCCGAGACCUGAUGUCUCCAUUUACCAUAAUGAUAUUGGUCUCAAAACAGAAAAGUUGCUAAAUAAGAACCCAUUUGUUAAAGAGUUUGAGCCCAGACCGAAUGUCUCCAUUUACCACAAUAAUAUUGGUCUCAAAACAAAAAAGCCGUUAGAUGAUAGUGCAUUCAAUAAAGAGUUUGAAUCAAAACCUGAUGUUUCUAUUUACCAUAACAAUAUUGAUCUCAAACUAAAAAAUUCACCAGAUGAGAGUUCAUAUAAUAAAGAGUUUGAGCCGACACUUGCUGUCACUAUCUACCAUAACGAUAUUGAUCUUCAAGCAAAAGAGCAAUCAGAUGAGAGGUUAGUUGGUAAAGAGUUUGAGGCGAAACCUGAUGUUACCAUCUACCAUAAUGAUAAAAAUUUCACCGAA
rnacentral:lncRNA from 1 species